AUGUGAUUUUGAAUAUGUGUUUCAAUAUGUGUGCAUCAUUUACGAUGGAGGGGAGCUAUUAUGUUAGCACCAAUAUUAUGUUACGAAUCAGUGUGAAGGUGUGUUGUGAUCCUAAAUGGCUCGAAUUUAGUUUUAAGGAAACAAUCUUGUAUCAAAAGGGAAUUCUACAAUAAUUAGAACCCCUGCAGAUAGUUAGCUACAAGAUCAC
rnacentral:lncRNA from 1 species